rnacentral:rRNA from 1 species
AUUGAACGCUGGCGGCAUGCGUAACACAUGCAAGUCGAACGGUGUUUGGUGCUCGCACCAGACAUAGUGGCGGACGGGUGAGUAAUGCGUAGGAAUCUGUCUUAGAGAGGGGGACAACCCGAGGAAACUUGGGCUAAAACCGCAUAUUCUCGAGAGAGGAAAGCAGGGACCGGAAACGGCCUUGUGCUCUAAGGUGAGCCUACGUCGGAUUAGCUAGUUGGUAGGGUAAAAGCCUACCAAGGCGAUGAUCUGUAGCUGGUCUGAGAGGACGGACAGCCACACUGGGACUGAGACACGGUCCAGACUCCUACGGGAGGGCAGCAGUGGGGAAUAUUGG